ACGCUCAUAUCAUGUUGAAGCAUCAGUUCUCAUUCGAACCCGCAAGUUAAGCAACGACAAGCCUAGUCAGUACCUUGAUGGAUGACUGCUUGGAAAUACCAGGUACUGUAAG